rnacentral:rRNA from 1 species
AAUGAACGCUGGCGGCGUGGUUAAGACAUGCAAGUCGAACGGUUUUUCAGGUGUAGCAAUACAUUUGAAGAGCAGUGGCGAACGGGUGCGUAACACGUGAACAAUCUACCUUUUAGUGUGGAAUAGCUCGGCGAAAGCCGGAUUAAUACCGCAUGUGGUUGCUUCUCGCAUGAGAGGCAUACUAAAGUCAGGGACCGCAAGGCCUGACGCUAUUAGAGGAGUCGCGGCCUAUCAGCUAGUUGGCGAGGUAACGGCUCACCAAGGCUAAGACGGGUAGCUGAUCUGGA